rnacentral:rRNA from 1 species
CUUUCUCCGCCGGCGACCGGCGCGACGGGUGAGUAACACGUAUGCAACCUCGCCCCUGUCGAGGGGGACAACCCGCCGAAGGGCGGGCUAAACCCGCGUACAUGCCACCGGGGCAUCCCGGAGGCAGGAAAGGCUUCGGCCGGACAGGGAUGGGCAUGCGGCGCAUUAGGCAGUAGGCGGGGUAACGGCCCACCUAACCGACGAUGCGUAGGGGUUCUGAGAGGAAGGUCCCCCACACUGGUACUGAGACACGGACCAGACUCCUACGGAAGGCAGCAG